rnacentral:lncRNA from 1 species
UGUCUUAUUUUCAGUGGGACUGCCAUGCUAAGAAGAUGGUUUGAGCUGUUUGGAGAAUUAGGUCUUGAUUGCUGUCAAAGAGAAGCAUCUCCCAGUCAUUUCUGACCUGAGAAGACAGUCGUGAAAUUCAUUGGUGGCCCAGACGUAGAAAGGAAA